GAUGAUUAUAGCUGGAAGGAAAGGAGGAGUAGAGACAAGGCAGCGGGGAGGUUAGCAUUGUGUAAGUACAACAGGCAGGAGCACCUGACUGGUUCCUGCUGCUGUGUUUGCCGCAUGCUGACCUCCCCACUGCCUUGCCCCUUCCCUCUCUCCUUGCCAGUAAGAAUCAU